rnacentral:lncRNA from 1 species
UAUCUAAAAAAAUAAAUUGUUCAAUUAAAAAUAAUGAGUAAAACAAUAAUAAUAAUAAUAAUAAUCUAAAAUAAAAUAAGUAAUAAAUAAAUAAAUAAUCAAAAUAGAAAAUAGAAUGGAAAAAGAAAAACAAAUUUCUACAAUCGAGUCGGUUCUGUACAUGGGUGAUGCGUAGGUCACCAAGUCACGUAGUUCAAGGGUCAGUUUGAUAUAAAAGCCCAAAUUCUUUUGUUGCUCUUCAGAGAUACCCAACUCCCUCUCUCUCUAAAAUGUUCUCUCUCUAAUUUUUCUCUAGGAACACUGGGAACUUCAAGCCAAUUUCCAGAAAACGAUGAAAAACCUAGAAAAUGAUGGGACUUUUAGAUUCUAAUCCUCGUAAACUUCAAGCUUCAACUGAAAAAUUCAAGCAACUUUCCAAAAAAAAAACCAAGAAAAAAAUUUCCAAAAAUCUCCGAGAAAUCCAAAAAAAUCACUUAGUCAGAAAUCCAAUACCAUUGAAACACUCAACCCAAAAACCUAAUCAAAAUUUCAAGAUCAAAUAUGGUUCAAAAAUAAAAAUCCCAUAAUAGUACUUAAAACCCAAAAAUCUUUCACACCAAAAAAAUGCUAUGAUCUUUUUAUCAAAUUUCUCAAUUCUCUUUAUACGUUUCUGUAUGGUAUUAGGCACAAUUUAUAGAAUUUUUUACCAAAAAUCUUAGGAAUUUCUUAUUCAAUAACAAAGAUUGGAUGUCAAAUACAGAUUAAAUCUCCUCUUGAUUUUUUUCCCAAAAAAUAGUUCAAUCAUCAAUAUCAUUUCUCGUGAUUUAGUUUCUUGUUUUAUACAAGCUUGAUUUAUGUGAUUGAAUCCCUGAACCAGAUCGUAAAUUCUUUAUCUUUUUAUUUAUUUUUAGUUUUUUAUUAAAAAAAAUAAAAUAAAUAAACAAAUAAUAUCAACCGGUUAAGUAUAGUCUUGGUUUCUCUUCAUUUUUCAUUUACUUCUUUGAUUUUCGAAUAAAAAAUUAUUAUAAGCUGUAUAUCCCAUGUUUAGUUACUAGCUAUAAAUCUACACUAAGAAUUUUUAAUUUACCCUUAAAUUCCCUCCCACACCUUGCUACUUAAUAAAAAAGUAGCAAUUUUUUUAAAUUUCUAUUUUAUCCUUAAAUUUUUUAUCCUAAUUAAUUAAAAAAGAUAUUAAAUACAUAAAUUUUCUCAAAUCCAUAAUCUUCAAAUGCAAAAUCCAAUAACAUAUUAACUAAUUCAAGAGAUAAUAAACUAUUCCUUUAACAAUUAGUAGAAGUAUUUAGUUUUUUUUUUUUUUCUUGUUGAUCAUAGCCUUAAUUUCCCAAAUUUUUUUCACUUGUUUAACUAGACGUUAAUCAUGUGUUUCUGGGAAUAACACAAGCCUGUGUCUGACGCUAUCUAAAUAAAAAAUAAGGUGAG